GACGAACGCUGGCGGCGUGCUUAACACAUGCAAGUCGAGCGGAGCGGCGAACGGGUGAGUAACGCGUGAGUAACUGCCCCCCUCUCUGGGAUAACAGUUGGAAACGGCUGCUAAUACCGGCUAGUGGGGGAUGACUCGCGUCCUAUCAUCUUGUUGGUGGGGUAGGGGCCUACCAAGGCGACGACGGGUAGCCGGCCUGGGGGGGCGACCGGCCAUAUUGGGCUGUGAUACGGCCCAAACUCUUACGGGGGGCAGCAGUGGGUAAUAUUUCGCAAUGGGGCAAACCCUGAUGCAGCAGCGCCGCGUGCGUGAUGACGGCCUUCGGUGUGUAAACCGCUUUCAGCCAUGACGCGGUAGUGGCAGAAGAAGCACCGGCUAACUACUUGCCAGCAGCCGCGGUAAUAC
rnacentral:rRNA from 1 species